rnacentral:rRNA from 1 species
GUCGAGGGGCAGCGGGGUUGUAGCAAUACAACUGCCGGCGACCGGCGCACGGGUGAGUAACACGUAUGUAACCUGCCCUCUGCAGGGGGAUAAGCGGAAGAAAUUCCGUCUAAUACCGCAUAAUACAAUUUGGAGACAUCUCCGGGUUGUCAAAGGAGUGAUCCGGCAGAGGAUGGACAUGCGGCGCAUUAGCUAGUCGGCGGGGUAACGGCCCACCGAGGCUACGAUGCGUAGGGGUUCUGAGAGGAAGGUCCCCCACACUGGUACUGAGACACGGACCAGACUCCUACGGGAGGCAGCAGUGAGGAAUAUUGGUCAAUGGGCGGAAGCCUGAACCAGCCAAGUCGCGUGAGGGAAGACGGUCCUAUGGAUUGUAAACCUCUUUUGCAGGGGAGCAAGGCGCGGUACGUGUACCGCGAAGGAGAGUACCCUGAGAAAAAGCAUCGGCUAACUCCGUGCCAGCAGCCGCGGUAAUACGGAGGAUGCGAGCGUUAUCCGGAUUUAUUGGGUUUAAAGGGUGCGCAGGCGGACUGUUAAGUCAGCGGUAAAAUGUCGGUGCUCAACACCGGCCGGCCGUUGAAACUGGCAGCCUUGAGUGAGCGAGAAGUAUGCGGAAUGCGUGGUGUAGCGGUGAAAUGCAUAGAUAUCACGCAGAACUCCGAUUGCGAAGGCAGCAUACCGGCGCUCAACUGACGCUCAGGCACGAAAGCGUGGGUAUCGAACAGGCU